AUGACUGGUUCCCAGCACCAAAGAAGUCCUAUGGCAGGCUGAACUUAGACCAUCACGUGUUCGUUCGCAGUUCGGUCACGCUUAUUCGGCGGGAGUGUUCACUCUGCAGCCUGCAUCCGUUAUUGCUCAGUGGGUCACAUUGAGAGCGUAGCUUUCGUUUCGUGCAGGUGUCAGGUUUUUCAGGUUUACCCUACACCAUCAUCGAACUAACUGAGGGCUGGCUACUCAUUGCAAAUACGUCUGCCUCACGAUUUCUUCCAGCGGCCAUUUCCCUUCUUUUACGAUCUACUCGAUCUCAGCUUCUCAUUUGGACUUCUUCCUAUCGAUCACCACCAAGGGCGACUUUCAGUUAGCCAACCAUUCAAGGUGCUCUUUUGCGACUUAGCCUUAUUGCCAACCAAUAUGUACAUUAAUUGGUUUCGGUUUAUAACGUGUUUGAGCGGUUGCGUUGGACGAGUAUUGUUGCUUUGCAAAGGCAACAAUAGCCGGUAACAGCGAAUAUGUACGCCACUGUCUUGCUGAUUUCCAAACUAGAUUUGUGCUCUUAACUUAAGGAAAAGUCCAUUCCGUUGAAAUCGCAGGCUCGAUGUACAAACAGAGUCUGCGAAGCAAAAAUGAGGGUAUUCUGCGCGUUGCCACUGUAGUAAGCAUGCCGCUAUCUUGUUUGCCGUUCCUUGUAGCCCCAAACGUUUAUGUUCUAGCUUUGAGGGAGAGCCUAUUUUACCGAAGAAGAGAAGAACUCAGAUUAUGUGAUACGUAAGUUGGUAUAAUCAGGUAA